AUCUCUGGUUGGAGAUCCCUCCCUUGUGGAGUCUUUUGUGUGAGCGUAGAUCUUCAGAAACAUGCUGUUGUCAUGUGACUGGUGCCAGCAGAGGGAUAGUCUGACAAAAUGAUGCCUGAUAUAGAAUUGCAUAUGGAACAAAGCAGGGACCAUCUUUACACUAUUUGAGCACAUGCGGGUUUCCAUCAAAGGCAAAGGAGCAGUGGGUGCUGAGUUGGGCCUAAUGAUAUCAAGAGGCACAGGGACAGAUACAAGGAUGAAUUUCCACAUGAUGUGAACUUUGAGGAAGACCAGGCUACCAAGCACUUGUGAUUCAAUUUCCAUCUGUCACAGAGCGCUGAAAUCAAGAGAGCCGCUAAUGCACUUAAGAGGCAGAGAUCAGAAAUGGAAAAGACAGAAAAAAACUAUUGCUAGUCACACAAGAACAGCAAAGAAGAUGGAUAAUCUACUCUGAAAUCAUUAAGAAUAACUAUGUGUUUCUGUAACCAUUCAAAAUGAGAUAGCACGCAACAGGGAGGCUUAUUCUUACCUUGAUCUCCUUAAUAGCUCUUCUAUAAUAAGUGAACAUAACAAACUGCCUAAGUUGUCCUCUAAGCAGUUUUGCUCCAGGCAUACUCUCAGCAAGAAAAUAAAAGGCCUUUCAAAUAAUUUCAUUUUAAAAAACUGACUGCUGUUCAGAUAAGUUUUGGUUAGUGGAAUUUUAAUUCAGACAAGUUCUUUAAAGGAUUUAUUACUCUUUUUAAUAUGUGCUCUAUUUCUCAAAAAAAAAAAAAACUCUCUGGGAGCUCAUGUCAUGUUAACAGCAAAUUAAAAUAAAUGAAUUGGCAGUGUCAAAGCAGACAAAUUUUAUUAAAGUAAUUUUAAACAUUGGGGAAAUCUUAAAAUGAGGGAAAUAGACCAAACUCUAAGUCAGAUCUCAAUACUUAAGAAGACUGCCAUUAAAGUUGUCACAAUAGGCUUAAUUUCCAGUGUUCCUCAAUUCAUUAACUAUGUGCAUUCUUUUUUCCUGUGUGGUUUGUCAUACAUACCAGACCACACAUCAUUUGAAACUGUAUCUGUUAUUCUAAAUGUAAUAGCAGUAUUUUCCCUAUUUUCUAUUUUAGGAAUUGUUACAGUGUUCAUCAUUCUUGUAUUACAGUAUUGGAUGCUUUAUCUAAUCAAGAGAGGCAGUGAAACCUUGCAAAGUGAUUCAUUUUACCUAAGUUAUUCUUCUUACUUAGCACGUAUUUGUGUCUGAACUUACUAUUCUACACACAACCAGGACAACUAAGACAUCUAAUCUGCAUGAAAGUCCUGUGAUGAUUCACUUCCAUAAUUUUGUUUAAAUUUUGCACAUUUGAUCUAUAAUGCUUUGCUUUAUUCUGUUCAACUCAUCAGCUGAGCAAGCAUCUAAUCCAUUUAAAACCAAUACCAUUAAAACAACAGUGGAGAACUGCAGACUCCUCC
ensembl:lncRNA